rnacentral:SRP_RNA from 1 species
UUACUUCAGUAACACUAUCUUGCAAACUCGGUCAGGUUCGGAAGAAAGCAGCCGUAGCAAGUAAUGUGUGUACCGAGAUAUCGU